AUUGAACGCUGGCGGCAGGCCUAACCCAUGCAAGUCGAACGGAGUGGCGGACGGGUGAGUAAUGUCUGGGAAACUGCCUGAUGGAGGGGGAUAACUACUGGAAACGGUAGCUAAUACCGCAUACUAUCAGAUGAGCCUAGGUCGGAUUAGCUAGUUGGUGGGGUAAAGGCCUACCAAGGCGACGAUCCGUAACUGGUCUGAGAGGAUGAUCAGUAACACUGGAACUGAGACACGGUCCAGACUCCUACGGGAGGCAGCAGUGGGGAAGAUUGGACAAUGGGCGAAAGCCUGAGCCAGCCAUGAAGCGUGUGUGAGGAAGGUCUUCGGAUUGUAAAGCACUUUAAGUUGGGAGGCGUUACCAACAGAAUAAGCACCGGCUAACUUCGUGCCAGCAGCCGCGGUAAUAC
rnacentral:rRNA from 1 species